rnacentral:rRNA from 1 species
AGGAUAAACGCUGGCGGCGUGCAUUAGACAUGCAAGUCGAACGGACUUCUCGGGGCUUGCUCUGAGAAGUUAGUGGCGGACGGCUGAGUAACGCGUAGGUGACCUAUCCCGAAGUGGGGAAUAACUGACCCGAAAGGGUGGACUAAUACCGCAUGUGAUCGUCUGUUCAUUCGAACGAUCAAAGCCGUAAGGCGUCGUUUGGGGAGGGCCUGCGUCCGAUUAGCUCGUUGGUGGGUAUGGCUCACAAGGCGACGAGUCGGUAGGUGGUCUGGAGAGGACGAUCAACCCGAGACCUAGGGACUGACGACACCGGACCCAGACCUCCGUACGGGAGCGAAGCAGGUCGGGUAAUUUUG